GCCUGCCUUACUGGGCAGUAACCCUCCUACGUCCAUUUCUUCCUAUGCACUUAUCGGGCCUUCAUCUCCACCCAACAGGAACUAGACGUGCUCUUCAGAAGGCCCUGCUCCAGCCCAAGCUCAAAAGCUACCUCAAGAGCUGUGGCAGCUCCAGCUCCAUGGCCAGCUGCAACUCCAGAGCCAGAGCAGCUCUAGAAAUAUCUAAAGAGCUAGAACCUGUACCCACUACAGCACCAGCUCCAGCCAACUCCAUCCACAGCUCCAGCUCCAAUGCUUAAGGCAACCCCGGCACAAUCACUAGUAGCAGCAGUGGCACUACAUCAAGCUCCAGAACCAGCUCCAGUUUCAGAUUUAGAGCCAGCACCAGCUCGAGAUCUGGAGUCAACAGCAGAAGCAGUUCUAGGAGCAUCUCCAGUGGCAGAAACACCCUCUCCAGCAAAUGCAGAGCCAGAGCUCCCAGCAGCACCACAGCUGGCACCAGCUCCUGACCCACCAUCAACGCCAGCCCCAGCCCCAGCACUGCCCUCCUCUCCCCUUCCACUGCAUUGGUCUUGAUUUGUUCUUGGAAGGUUUACCAUAUAUAUACUAUCUUAUAGAAUUUACCUCCAAUAAAAUUUAAUGUUUUCAUAUUUU